rnacentral:rRNA from 1 species
GACGAACGCUGGCGGCGUGCUUAACACAUGCAAGUCGAACGGUGAACGAGGGAGCUUGCUCCCUCCGGAUCAGUGGCGAACGGGUGAGUAACACGUGAGCAAUCUGCCCCGAACUCUGGGAUAAGCGUUGGAAACGACGUCUAACACCGGAUACGACGCGGGAGGGCAUCCUCUCCGCGUGGAAAGAACUUCGGUUCGGGAUGAGCUCGCGGCCUAUCAGCUUGUUGGUGAGGUAACGGCUCACCAAGGCGACGACGGGUAGCCGGCCUGAGAGGGUGACCGGCCACACUGGGACUGAGACACGGCCCAGACUCCUACGGGAGGCAGCAGUGGGGAAUAUUCACAAUGGGCGCAAGCCUGAUGCAGCAACGCCGCGUGAGGGACGACGGCCUUCGGGUUGUAAACCUCUUUUAGCAGGGAAGAAGCGAAAGUGACGGUACCUGCAGAAAAAGCACCGGCUAACUACGUG